UAAGGAAUAUUGCUCAAUGGGAGAAAUCCUGAAGCAGCAACGCCGCGUGGAGGAUGAAGGGCUUUCAGCUUGUAAACUCCUGUACAGAAGGAAAAAAUUCCCAUUAGAUGGGAAAUGAUGGUACUUCUAAAGUAAGCCCCGGCUAACUACGUGCCAGCAGCCGCGGUAAUCCGUAGGGGGCAAGCGUUGUCCGGAUUUACUGGGUGUAAAGGGUGCUCAGGCGGAUUUGUAAGUCUGGGGUGAAAUCUCGCAGCUUAACUGUGAAACUGCCAUUGAUACUGGAAGUCUAGAGUAUGGAAGAGGGAGAUGGAAUGUCUGGUGUAGCAGUGAAAUGCGUAGAUAUCAGGUAGAACACCAAUGGCGAAGGCAGUCACUUGGUCCAUUACUGACGCUAAAGCGCGAAAGCGUGGGUAGCAAACA
rnacentral:rRNA from 1 species